ACACAGCAAUGGUAGGGCGCUCCUCCUCAAUAGAAACAGUUUAUCCGGGCCACUUCCGGCCAACCUCGGCAUCUCCAAGUUGAGCUACCUCGCCCUCGCCAACAACAAGCUCACCGGCCCAAUCCCGUCAUCAAUCGGGCAAGCAAAAGACUCCCUCCUCGAGCUCCUCCUCCUCAACAACCAGCUCUCCGGCUGCCUCCCACACGAGCUGGGCAUGCUCACCAAAACCACGGUCAUCGACGCCGGGAAGAACCAGCUCACGGGCCCGAUCCCGCAAUCCUUCUCCUGCCUCAGCAGCGUCGAGCAGCUCAACCUGGGCGAGAACCGCCUCUACGGCCAGGUCCCCGACGCGCUCUGCAAGCUCGGCCGCCUCGCCAACCUCACGCUGGCGGGCAACUACUUCUCCUCGGUCGGGCCGGCGUGCUCGGCGCUGGUCAAGGACGGCGUUCUGGACGUAAAGAGGAACUGCAUCCCCGGCCUCGCCAACCAGAGGGCGCCCGCGGAGUGCGCCUCGUUCAUGAGCCAGCCCAAGGCGUCCUGCCCUGCCGCGAGCGCUCCCGUGUCCUGCCCUGCCGAAGCUGCCGCGGACGCCAAGAAGAUGGCGCCGGAGGGGAGGGCGGCCGCCAAGGACUACGCAAGCUACGUGACGUACGCCACUCUCCAUGAGUGAGCUAGGCGCCACGUAGUGCGUACGGCUUGUCGGCGUGGCGCAUGCAUGCGCUAGGGGACGCCGUGCCUCGUCGCUGGAGUAAUUUGUUUGCUAUUGUAUUCAUUUUUCUUGUAUUUGUUCGGUUGGUGUGUGUGCGCGCGCGCGCACGUGAUCGUUAUUUGUUUUUCUCUUCACGUGUGGAUGUCACGUCUAGAUCUUGCCCUCUUGUACGUACUGUACUGCCAUGCACGUCUGUUGUGUGGUGGCAAUUAAUUUGGAUCGUAUCUUGCUUUGUUCUUUCAUGAUGUCUUGAAAUUAUGUGAAGUUUUCUUACAUUGUGCAUUGCUAGUUACCAUUGCUCGGUGUAAAUGUAUAAUACGGUCAAUAAACCAUGCAUGCCUCUCUGUCGUACAAACUUAACGACCAAACUCCCCAGCAGCACCUGCUUAAUUACGUGUGCAUUUCCGAAUGUAUAUCACAAAGGUUUAUGGUCAUCGCCAAAUCUCUUUUGUGACCGCGCACCUUCUCGUCGCUCGCAGUGCGCACGCACGUGAAUCGUCCGAUCUGAUCGAGCGUUCUCUGUUCUCCCCCUCCACCUCCUCCUCCCGACCAGGCGCCACUCCUCCCCCCUCCUCUCUCUCCCUCUUCUCCCACGAGUUCUCCAGCGCAGGACGUCGUUGCCGUGGGCCAGCCCGCCAUGGAAUCCGCCGGAUCAGGACACCCUUCUCCCUCCCUCCUCCCGCCCGAGGUGCGUCUCGAGCACAUGAAGACGCCUCGUGGGCCGCCCCGCCGAGAAAUCGGCCGGAUCUGGACCUGCUCUCUCCCUCCCCACCUCCCUCCUCCCCCCGAGGUCCGUCCCGGGUGCAGGAUGACGCCUUCUGGGCUGGCCUGCCGUGGAAUCCGCCGGAUCAGGACCCGCGGUUCCUCUUGCCCGCGGCGUUGGGGAGCUCUCGAAGGGGCCAGCCAUGUAGACCGCAGACUCGUCGUCGUUGGCCACGCCGAAUAAAGGGACGACGACCCCGUCGUCCUUGGCCCGAUAUGGAGGCACGUCCCGGCAACAACGAUCCCGUGAUCGUAACGGUUCGUGGUCUAUGAGGGUAUGGUGCUCAUAAUUUCUCUCGUUACUUACAUCCAGUAGAUAUGAUCUUGGAUUUCUUUCGUACUUCUCGUAGAAUUUUUUUAUUUUUCAUGCAACGAACCCAUCAGUAAAAAUUCCUGGUGCAACAAAUUCUAGGGCGCUCCUCCUAAACGGCGAUAAACUGUCCGGGUCACUUCCGGCGGACAUUGGCUUCUCCAAGUUGAGCUACCUCGCCCUCGCGGGAAAUUUCUAGCUGACGCCGUGGAUGCCUACCUCGAUUAUCCACACCGUUCGCCCGUAUAGGGAUCUGAGCCAUCUUAGGUGGCCGAUCAGGAUUUACAGUCACAUUAACUGAACACGGUCCAUAGGGGUGGUAGGACGCAGCACGUAGGUCUGCUUUUAGCAGAGACUGACAGACCCUUGCUGCCUUGCAGCAAGUUUUCCACUGUAGCGCUCGCUCCAUGUAGCGCUCGCUCCAUGUCUCACUCGGAGUACUAGUAGUCUGAAUAGUACUAGUUUUGAUAGCAGUAAUAAUGGGGGCAUAGGAGUAUUGAGGAGCUUUGCUUAAAGAUGUGAGCAAUAUCGAGAAGCUUUGCUUAAAGAUGUUUUACUGUGCAUGGCAAACAUUGUUUUUUCAAUGUUUUUCUAGUUUGGACGUCAGAACAUUGUUUUUCCCAAUGUUUUGUAGUGUCCUCGGCCAAACAAUGUUUUUUCCAGUGUUUCGUUGAUGUCAAAAGCAUCUCUGAAACUCUGAAUAACACAUGCAUUUGUUCAUAGAUAUUUUUUUCGUGUGUUUCAAUGCUUGAAGCACCAUGAGUACGCAUGUGAAUCGCAUGAAGAAAACUCGGUCGUUCCUGUGAAAAUACAAACCGAGUAGCAGUCCUUACGGUCAGUUUGACCACUGCACAAUCCUAAAGUUAUUUUGUCCAACUUCACGUGAGCUAGCGGAGUAAUUUAGAAGUCGAGAGUCGAGACCCUCCGGCUCCAAGUGGGUCCCUAGUGAACAGAAGCCUGCUAUCCCUUGUGCCUUUUGUGGGAUGGGACAAAAAAGAAGAAAUGACGACCAGCACUGGGAGAGAAUGAUGGAAGAUAUAAAAUACUCCUACAAGAAAAUCAGUAGAGAGAGCGCAAUACUCGAAGAGAUAGAAGAAACAGUAGUCAUGGGAACUACAGUGACUUUGGCAAUAUCACCUACAGUAUCCUACGAUAGGAACAAGAGGCUGCAUCCACUGUCAGAUAUUUAGUUCUCGAUGGCCAUAAUGACUUUCCUUAAACCUGAUUCUGGCGCAAAUCCCGAGGAAUGAAACACUGCUCCGAUGGACAGGAUAGGCGGGGCACUCACCUACGUGGUCAGAAAAAUCACCCUCCCUGGCCUCGCCCUCGCAAACAACAAGCUCACCGGCCCAAUCCCGCAGUCAAUCGGGCAAGCAAAAGACUCCCUCCUCGAGCUCCUCCUCCUCAACAACCAGCUCUCCGGCUGCCUUCCUCAUGAGCUCGGCAUGCUCACCAAGACAGCCGUCAUCGACGCCGGGAUGAACCAGCUCACGGGCCCGAUCCCGUAAUCCUUCUCCUGCCUCA
rnacentral:lncRNA from 1 species